rnacentral:rRNA from 1 species
UACGAAGGGGGCUAGCGUUGUUCGGAUUUACUGGGCGUAAAGCGCACGUAGGCGGAUCUUUAAGUCAGAGGUGAAAUCCCAAGGCUCAACCUUGGAACUGCCUUUGAUACUGGGGAUCUUGAGUCCGGGAGAGGUGAGUGGAACUGCGAGUGUAGAGGUGAAAUUCGUAGAUAUUCGCAAGAACACCAGUGGCGAAGGCGGCUCACUGGCCCGGAACUGACGCUGAUGUGCGAAAGCGUGGGGAGCAAACAGG